UCCUCUCUAGUCUCCACUCUCCACUCUCCACUCUCCACUCUCCACUAACGGGAAGAAGCGGAACGCGAAGCAGCACUCACCUAGACUGCUGGACCUCAAGCUUCCGGCGCAACUUCCGUCCAGCCACCGCCGCCGUCGCAAAUUCCGUGCAGCCAACAUCAGCCAGCUCUGUUUGCACAGCCACUUUCUGUCGCGCUUCCAGCUCUGUUUGAUCUUCGAAAAUCGGAACCACCGCCAGCACCACUUUCCGUCACGUAGAUACUUCCCGCCGGAGCCAGCUCUAUUCCACACUUCCACCCAGUCAGCCACUAUCUUGCCUCUUGCCAGCCACUGUCCCGGCCAGCUCUGCUUUUUCCAGGCUUCCAGCUUCUAACCCUAGGUGCUGAUAGUUCAUCUUGGAUGUAGUUUUGGGAUCAUUUACUUGUUAAUUAUCCGACUUUCAGUUUGAAUCUCGCCGCAAGAGAAGUACGAAUGGUUCCUUGAUCUUCAGCGAAAUGGAACUGCGAAGAACUCUGGUUUCACUCUGCGGUACGACCUUAUGGUCCUCUUCAUAACUGGUCUUACCAAUGUUGUGAAGCUCUGUGAAGUGUGAACUGAAGUCGCUGCAGUGUGACAUGAUGAACUCUGAAUAAUUGCUGUUUACUGAUUACUGAACUGGACUGAUUCCAUAGUUCCUGCUUACUGAUUACUGAUUACUGAUUAUUGAACUGAUUCCAUAGUUCCUGCUUUGUGUACUGAACUGGAUUUUGUUGUUUGUUGCUUUAUGCAUGCAAUUAUCCACAUGAGAACAUAACAUUCAAGAUAGAUGAGAGUAGCAGCAACCCUAAUUACUUGGCAUUUGUGAUUUGGUACCAACAGGGAAUUAGAGACAUAACUGCUGUCCAGCUUUGUGAGACUGAGAAUUUUGAGUGCAAGCUGCUAGAUCGGAGCCAUGGUGCAGUGUGGAGUAGCACCUGCGGCAUUGAUGGCAUUGAUAGUUGAUUAGUUGAUUAGUGUUCAUGAGAGCAUGCAUGUUCAAUAACCAUUAUAGAGUUUCCAUAUCACUUGCUUAUUUGUUGUCUGCAUAUGUUGUAAACUUGUAAUAUGAAAUGAAAUUUUGACAAGAGACAACUUCUUUGGAUGUUUGGUGCCAUUGAUUUAUAUGGCUCUGUUUGGUGAUGUCCGAUUUAGAUGCAUGAACAGAAACCUUGGAUGGUAUUUUUCCCCAGAAUGUAUUUAUAUUUUAUUAUAAAACGGUUUUUUCGGUUCAACCACGGUUAAACCGGUUGAAUCUAUAAACCAGUGAUCCAGUAACUAGAGCGGUUCGAUGACCGGUUCGGUUUUCAGAACCUUGGUUAUUA